UGGGGGCUCUUGGGCUCGGGGGGGGCAGCCUGAUGCCGCCCUGCCGCGUGCAGGAUGAGGCCUUCGGGUUGUAAACUGCUUUUGUACGGAACGAUAGGCUCUGGUGAAUACCCGGGGCUCAUGACGGUACCGUAAGAAUAAGCACCGGCUAACUACGUGCCAUCAGCCGCGGUAAUACGUAUGGUGCGAGCGUUAAUCGGAAUUACUGGGCGUAAAGCGUGCGCAAGCGGUGAUGUAAGACAGAUGUGAAAAUCCCCGGGCUUCAACCUGUGAACUGCAUUUGAGACUGCAUGGCUGGAGUGCGGCAGAGGGGGAUGGAAUUACCUCGUGUAGCAGUGAAAUGCGUAAAUAUGCGGAGGAACACCGAUGGCGAAAGGCAAUCCCCUGGACCUGCACUGACGCUCAUGCACGAAAAGCGUGGGGAGCAAACAGGAUUAAAUACCCUGGUAGUCCACGCCCUAAACGAUGUCAACUGGUUGUUGGUCCUUCACUGAAUCAGUAACGAAGCUAACGCGUGAAGUUGACCGCCUGGGGAGCG
rnacentral:rRNA from 1 species